UACGUAGGGAGCAAGCGUUGUUCGGAAUGACUGGGCGUAAAGGGUGUGUAGGCGGUUUAUUAAGUUAGAAGUGAAAUACCUAGGGCUUAACCCAGGUGCUGCUUCUAAAACUGAUAGACUUGAGUGCAGUAGAGGAAAGUGGAAUUCCUAGUGUAGCGGUGGAAUGCGUAGAUAUUAGGAGGAACACCAGAGGCGAAGGCGACUCACUGGACUGUAACUGACGCUGAGGCUCGAAAGCGUGGGGAGCAAACAGG
rnacentral:rRNA from 1 species